rnacentral:rRNA from 1 species
AAAUUCAGUGAUCCUAUGCUGCCGAGAAAAGCCUCUAGUGAGUUCAUACACGGCCCGUACCCCAAACCGACACAGGUGAUCAGGUAGAGAAUACCAAGGCGAUCGAGAGAACUGUGGUUAAGGAACUCGGCAAAAUGCCCCCGUAACUUCGGGAGAAGGGGGACCAUGCCCGGUGAACAUCUUCACGGUGGGAGCUGGGUGUGGUCGCAGAGACCAGAGAGAAGCGACUGUUUACUAAAAACACAGGUCCGUGCGAAGACGUAAGUCGAUGUAUACGGACUGACGCCUGCCCGGUGCUGGAAGGUUAAGAGGACCGGUUAGCCGUAAGGCGAAGCUGAGAAUUUAAGCCCCAGUAAACGGCGGUGGUAACUAUAACCAUCCUAAGGUAGCGAAAUUCCUUGUCGGGUAAGUUCCGACCUGCACGAAUGGCGUAACGACUUCUCUGCUGUCUCGACCACAGACUCGGCGAAAUUGCACUACGAGUAAAGAUGCUCGUUACGCGCGGCAGGACGAAAAGACCCCGGGACCUUUACUAUAGCUUGGUAUUGGCGUUCGAUUCGGUUUGUGUAGGAUAGGUGGGAGACUGUGAAGCAUGCACGCCAGUGUGUGUGGAGUCGUUGUUGAAAUACCACUCUGAUCGUAUUGGACGUCUAACCUCGGCCCAUGAUCUGGGUUAGGGACAGUGUCUGGUGGGUAGUUUAACUGGGGCGGUUGCCUCCUAAAGAGUAACGGAGGCGCCCAAAGGUUCCCUCAGCCUGGAUGGCAAUCAGGUGUUGAGUGCAAGUGCACAAGGGAGCUUGACUGUGAGACUGACACGUCGAGCAGGGACGAAAGUCGGGACUAGUGAUCCGGCACCGGCAAGUGGAAGCGGUGUCGCUCAACGGAUAAAAGGUACCCCGGGGAUAACAGGCUGAUCUUCCCCAAGAGUCCAUAUCGACGGGAUGGUUUGGCACCUCGAUGUCGGCUCGUCGCAUCCUGGGGCUGGAGUAGGUCCCAAGGGUUGGGCUGUUCGCCCAUUAAAGCGGCACGCGAGCUGGGUUUAGAACGUCGUGAGACAGUUCGGUCUCUAUCCGCCGCGCGCGUAAGAAACUUGAGGAAGGCUGUCCCUAGUACGAGAGGACCGGGACGGACGAACCUCUGGUGUGCCAGUUGUUCCACCAGGAGCAUGGCUGGUUAGCUACGUUCGGAAGGGAUAACCGCUAAAAGCAUCUAAGCGGGAAGCCUGUUCCAAGAUGAGGUUUCUCACCACCUUGCGUGGUUAAGGCCCCCUACAGACCAUGGGGUUGAUAGGCCGGAACUGGAAGCGCAGCAAUGCGUGGAGGUGACCGGUACUAAUAGGCCGAGGGCCU